CUCCAGCUCCUCGAAGUUCUCUUUGGUCAAGUUAUAUUUGCGCAUGAGUUCGUACUUUCUGGCGUCGAGCUUCCUCUUGUGACUCUUCUCCUGUUUCGACUCCAGGGUCUCGAAGACGGCCGCUCCGACCACCAGCAGAGUGAUCUUGGCGCUGUACUCAGCCAGGUCUGCAGCCUGAGGCAGGAGGCACAAACAAUGUCGUCAACAACAAACAAAGGCUUGCCUGGCCAGCUCCUCCUUGGCUAUUAUGGCCUCCAUCCUCUCAGCCUCCAGCCGGGCUGCCUCCUGCUCCACCCUCCUCCUCUCCUCCUCCAGCCUCAUGGCCCGGUCCAGCUGCUCCUGAAGCUCUGCGGGACAAAGUCAGUGAAACACGAGACAAGAUCUGUCAAGUAUUGUAAGGUGUUAUCAUACAGGGAGAUGUAUGCAUUUCUCUGCUUUUCUGGGACAAUUUCACACCUGUGAAAUAACACAUUUGCUUUACUUAAGGUAGUCGUUCCUGACUUUCCACCUAAAAUGAACCAGUGUCUAUUUGUGAGCUCUUAUGUCUGCUCUUCAGGUAAAAAGCAUUCGAUUUUAUCUGCCCAGAAAUUGUAUACAGUGAUCCUCGGCAACAAAAAAAAAAAUACAUAAAUACAUUUUAAUGGCCAUUAAAAUGGAGAUUUGAGGAACUUUCAGAGGCUUGAACCUAGUGUUUAUUUCUUACCACGACAAGUAUUGCAAUGAUGAGCUCAGGCUCCUUUUUCCACUUAGUGUUUUCACCUGCUUCAUAUUGCAAGUCUGGUUGAGUGGAUGUUGUUUUUAUCUGAAGUAUAAAAAAAACAUCCACUCAACCAAUUUAACUUUUUCUGUGUAUGUAUGUAAAUAAACAGCAGAGGGCAGUAAAGCCAUGCAGCUCUUGUAGGACUCGAUUAUGUUGUCUGAGGUCUGUAAAGAGGAGUGUAAGACGCCCUGUCUCACCUCUCUCUGCUCUCUUCGUCGUCUCUUCAAACUGGUAGAGCUUCAUCAUCAGGUCCUGCUUUUCUCUCUCCAUCUGCUCCUUCUCUUUCUCAAUGGCCUCCCUCUUCUUCUUCUCACUCUCCAGCUGAUCCCUGUAGAACGCAAAUUAAAGACCGAUCAGACAUCUUAAUCACUCCCCAAUCAGUCAAAAUCCCAGUUCUCAGUCUGUGAGAGCAGAGUGGUGUCCCCAUUUAACUUAAUAACCCUUCACCCACCUCUCCAUCUUCUUCUGCAGCCGCUCCUCUUUGGCCUGAGCCUUCAUCUGCUGAACCUCGAUGCUGUCGGCCUUGCGGCGGCGCAUGUACAGCUCAUGGUUGCCCAUGCACAGUUGAAGUAUGCGCUUGUUGACUCGUAGCCGGGGAGCAUAGAAUAUAAAAUCCUUCAAAAGAGAAAAAAAAAAGAGUCUGAAAUGAGAGGAUUUACUUCCAGCAGUGACUAAAGUUUCAUUAAUAUUGAUUGAUAACUGAAACCAAAAUUUCCUCCAAAUUUAUAAUACGUGGAAAGCCUUAAGUAGAUUUGUUUCAUUCCAUUUUAACUAAAAUAUUUGUCGCCUAUCUGCAUUUUUACUGACAUCUGUGCAACUUGAAUAACAUUAACCUGCACAUAAAUGCUGCUAGACACCUAACUACACACUUACACACACAGGAAAUGCUGUCAUUGCUGAGGAUUGUUAGACUCUGAAAUACUUACAGGGGAUUUCUUGUCUAUGGGCUUGAUGACGAAUUUCUUAUCAUUGAAAGAAAUGUUUCUAAUUUCACUCCAGGGGAAUCCAAUCUUUGGAGUCAGCCUGGAGGAUGGAAAGAAAGAGGUGAUGCAGCAUGUUUAACAGCACGUUUAAAAGAUUUCAGGUUUUGUUUUUAAAGAAUAUUUACAGGCAAAAAACAGUUUGCUCGCCACUUUGGGAAAUAAGGGAAAUAAGUCGAUGGCCAUGGGGUCAAAUGUUCUAUUUAAAACCUGACCAGCUGAAAGGGAAGGCAGCAAGGGUCAAUGACUGAGGUGUGACUGCUCGUGUGUCGCCCUCCUGUCUACAACUGUUUGUCAUCAAGUCAAUGCCCACUAGAGAUGCCAUGUUUGGAGAGAUGUUGAUAGUGAAGGAUGCAUGUUUAUUGUCCUACCUGUCCUCCUUCUCGUAGAUGUUGAGUCCCAGAGCGUCGACUCCCAACCACAGGUCUGUGCCUUUCUUAUUCUUGAUCUCAAAGUAGUUGACACCGUACAUCUCCAGGUCCUGUGCGAUCUUCAGAUACUCAAUCAUGGCAUCUUCCCUGUUCAGGUUAGAAAAAAACAUGGAAAAAUAUUUCCAGUUAGGUGAAUAAAUUUGGAGUCUGUAAAAUGAUACUGAACCCCGGCACUGUGCAAAACUGUGGAGGUAACAGCAGCCUCUGUGACAGUGGCAGUUACAGGAUAAUGGCACACUGACUUGUGUUUACUUUUUGUUUUAUGUUUGAUA